rnacentral:rRNA from 1 species
AUGGGUUGCGGUGGCUCCAAAGAGGACGUGGCCACCGGCAACACCGCCGCCAACGGCGCCGGCAAGCUCUUCCGGAGGAAGUCCACCAUGUCCGCCAGCCACCGCUCCUCCCACGCGCCCUCCCCCUCCUCGUCCGACGACACCUCCGUCGCCGUCAAGGACGUCGCCAAGGAGCCGUCGGCCGGCGAGACCAAGGGCGACGUCGUCGAGGUGGCGUCGGACGAGAAGCCCGUCGCCGUCGUCGAGGAUAAGGAGGAGGAGGCGGUGGCGGUCAAGAAGGAUGUCACCGGUGACGAAGUUUCUGCCACGGUGGACGAGGCGGCGCAACCUCCUUUGAAGGAGGAGGGCGGGCUGCCGAAAUCCAACAUGGCCGAUGAGGCGCCGGUGGUGGAGGAGGCUAAGGUCGAUGAGGCGAAGGAAGCAGUAGUAGCACUCAUCAAGGAGGAGACCAGACCCGAGGAGACCAAGGAGGAAGAGACGUCUCCUGCUUCCACAAACGAUCGUGGUACGUCUCGCACUAAUUUGAAUUUAGCAUCUAUACAAAUCGUGAUUUAA